GCUUCCCAAUCUUAAAGACAUCAACUUAUAUCUUUGGGAACUUGAUUCAAAUUGAUACGAUUAAGAACACCACCAUCAAACCAUAUCCUUGUUUCUUUAACGUUUCACAGACCAAACAUACUUCAAUCCCUCUUUACUUCACCUUCUUGUGAAAUAAUCUUUCAUAUACUUCUUUCCUACGGUAUCUCUUUCCAUCUUUUUAUGAUUUUGUCUAAGAUGUAUUUGUCAUACCUUCCAAACUUUUCAGAUGCUCCAUAAUUUCUUCUUUGAAUAUCCCUUCAUUUCCUUGUUAGUAAAAACCUUUUUCAAGCUCAUCGA